rnacentral:rRNA from 1 species
AUUGAACGCUGGCGGCAUGCCUUACACAUGCAAGUCGAACGGUAACAGGUCUUCGGAUGCUGACGAGUGGCGAACGGGUGAGUAAUACAUCGGAACGUGCCCGAUCGUGGGGGAUAACGGAGCGAAAGCUUUGCUAAUACCGCAUACGAUCUACGGAUGAAAGCGGGGGAUCGCAAGACCUCGCGCGAUUGGAGCGGCCGAUAUCAGAUUAGCUAGUUGGUGGGGUAAAAGCUCACCAAGGCGACGAUCUGUAGCUGGUCUGAGAGGACGACCAGCCACACUGGAACUGAGACACGGUCCAGACUCCUACGGGAGGCAGCAGUGGGGAAUUUUGGACAAUGGGCGCAAGCCUGAUCCAGCAAUGCCGCGUGCAGGAUGAAGGCCUUCGGGUUGUAAACUGCUUUUGUACGGAACGAAACGGUGAGCUCUAAUAAAGCUUGCUAAUGACGGUACCGUAAGAAUAAGCACCGGCUAACUACGUG